rnacentral:lncRNA from 1 species
AACUUUUUUUUUUCUUUUUACACAGAGUGGAACACUGCAAUAUACUUUCUAUUGUUACAAAACACAGAAUGCCUCAUUUAAUAUUACUGUAUUAUUCAUUCUCGUUAAGCUCUUAAAUUGGAAUCACAAUCUACAAAAUUCAGCAGUGGACCAAAUUUUGGACUGCCUGCCUGUUUCCCAGCAAAUUCAGAUAUGGAGCAUUAGUUG